rnacentral:misc_RNA from 1 species
CAACUGUUCAGACACCAGAGUUGUUUAAAGGUAGCCUUAAAGAAUAUCAACUGAAGGGUCUUCAGUGGCUGGGUAAUUGUUAUGAGCAGGGGUUAAAUGGUAUACUUGCUGAUGAAAUGGGCCUUGGAAAGACUAUCCAAGCUAUGGCAUUCUUGGCUCAUUUGGCUGAGGAGAAAAAUAUAUGGGGGCCAUUUCUUGUUGUUGCACCUGCUUCUGUCUUGAAUAACUGGGCUGAUGAAAUUAGCCGUUUCUGUCCUGACUUGAAAACCCUUCCUUAUUGGGGUGGCAUUCAAGAGCGAACGAUACUACGGAAAAACAUCAAUCCUAAGCGUCUUUACAGAAGGGAGGCUGGAUUUCACAUUCUCAUUACCAGCUAUCAACUGCUAGUGUCUGAUCAGAAGUAUUUCCAGCGUGUGAAAUGGCAAUACAUGGUGUUGGAUGAAGCCCAGGCUAUAAAAAGUUCCAGCAGUAUAAGAUGGAAGACACUGCUCAGUUUCAAUUGUCGUAACCGCUUGCUUCUUACUGGUACACCAAUCCAAAAUAAUAUGGCUGAGUUGUGGGCCCUUCUACAUUUCAUUAUGCCAACAUUAUUUGACAGCCAUGAACAGUUCAAUGAGUGGUUUUCCAAAGGAAUUGAAAAUCAUGCAGAGCAUGGGGGCACUUUGAAUGAGCAUCAGCUUAAUCGGUUGCAUGCAAUUUUGAAGCCUUUUAUGCUACGAAGAGUAAAAAAAGAUGUGAUUUCAGAGCUGACGAAGAAAAAAGAGGUUACAGUACACUGCAAGUUAAGCUCUCGGCAGCAAGCUUUCUAUCAAGCCAUCAAGAACAAGAUAUCUCUUGCCGAGCUGUUUGACGGGAAUCGAGGACAUCUUAAUGAGAAGAAAAUUAUGAAUCUAAUGAAUAUAGUCAUUCA